GAUGAACGCUAGCUAUAGGCUUAACACAUGCAAGUCGAGGGGCAGCGAAUAGAUAGCUUGCUAUUUAUGUCGGCGACCGGCGCACGGGUGAGUAACGCGUAUCCAACCUGCCCAUAACUAAGGGAUAACCCAGCGAAAGUUGGACUAAUACCUUAUGUAUUCGUUUGAUCUCAUGAGAUUACGAAUAAAGAUUUAUCGGUUAUGGAUGGGGAUGCGUCUGAUUAGCUUGUUGGCGGGGUAACGGCCCACCAAGGCAACGAUCAGUAGGGGUUCUGAGAGGAAGGUCCCCCACAUUGGAACUGAGACACGGUCCAAACCCCUACGGGAGGCAGCAGUGAGGAAUAUUGGUCAAUGGACGCAAGUCUGCACCAGCCAAGUAGCGUGCAGGAUGACGGCCCUAUGGGUUGUAAACUGCUUUUAUAUGGGGAUAAAGUGGGGAACGUGUUCUCUUUUGCAGGUACCAUAUGAAUAAGGACCGGCUAAUUCCGUGCCAGCCGCCGCGGUAA
rnacentral:rRNA from 1 species